rnacentral:misc_RNA from 1 species
GAUGAAGAACGUAGCGAAAUGCGAUAAGUAGUGUGAAUUGCAGAAUUCAGUGAAUCAUCGAAUCUUUGAACGCACAUUGCGCCCUUUGGUAUUCCUUAGGGCAUGCCUGUUCGAGCGUCAUUUAAACCUUCAAGCUAAGCUUGGUGUUGGGUGACUGUCCGCUUCACGGCGGACUCGCCUCAAAAUUAUUGGCGGCCGGUACAUUGGCUUCGAGCGCAGCAGAAACGCGAACUCGGGCCCGUCGUAUUGGCUCCCAGAAGCUAUCUUCACAAUUUUGACCUCGGAUCAGGUAGGGAUACCCGCUGAACUUAAGCAUAUCAAUAAGCGGAGAA